UCAUGGGUCUCUUUCUCGAAGGGGCCCCAGCGUCAGAGCCAUUCACGAGCACGGGCCAUAAAUGACCGAGUCGAACACCACAUUAAGCACUGCAUUCUCCGAAAUCUGAACUGACUGGAGCACAGCCAAAAUGCCAGGAACAAAAGGUAAUAAGUCCGACAAGAAGUCAGCUACCAAGCAACCUCAGAGUCCCAAAGAGCAGCCAAAGAAAGCUGAUCAGAAAGGAGAUGAUAACAAGAAGCAAGGAGGACAGCCGAAGGGAGAGAAGCAAUAACUUCCAGGCAUUUGUGAAGAUGGCUUUGGAGACACUACUCGGGUCCUGCCGUCGUAAACACGGGAGCCCCCGGGGCAAACAGGGCUGAGUGCACCUCCCUUCUGCACCCCCCCAAACCCCCCCCUCCGGAGCCUGCAGACUAGGCUGUUGUGCGGCCUCAUAAUACUGCAUCUGCUCCCAUCUCACAGAGGCAGAAAGUGAACCUGAUCUCCAUCCAUCACCAUCUGUUGUCCCCCCCUUCCCCACACUGUCCACUCUGGCUUAUUAGAUGCUCAAAAAUAGACUCCAGGUUAAACCGGAUCAUUGCUAUGAGCAAAAAAAACAUUUUGUCAUCCCUUUGCAAUCCUUCCCUAACUCACCCUCAUGCAACUUGACUGUCUAACAGUCCAGACAUUCUUGUUGUUGUAAAUAACAAUUAAAACGACUAUUUCUUACUGCA